AUUUUCCCUCUCCCAUGGCGACCAAAUUGACGCUCUCCUUACCGUCUUCGAGUUCGCUCACUGUUCCGAUUCAAAAUCAGAAACCGGCAGCUUCUCUGCUUUCGCCUUCUUCAAGGUCCCAAUUGGUUAGGGCUUCUAGCCGGCGAUUGUUCCUUCGCCGCCGACUGGUUCUUCCCCCUCCCCGGGCAGCUACUGAUCAACCAGGUCAGGUUGAGGGAGAUGAGGUUGUUGAU
rnacentral:misc_RNA from 1 species